rnacentral:rRNA from 1 species
GUUAGGAAUAUUGGACAAUGGGCGCAAGCCUGAUCCAGCCAUGCCGCGUGAGUGAUGAAGGCCUUCGGGUUGUAAAGCUCUUUAGUCCACGAAUAUAAUGACUGUAGUGGAAGAAUAAGCCCCGGCUAACUUCGUGCCAGCAGCCGCGGUAAUACGAAGGGGGCGAGCGUUAUUCGGAAUCACUGGGCGUAAAGCGUGCGUAGGCUGUUUUGUAAGUCAGAAGUGAAAGCCCAGGGCUUAACCCUGGAAUUGCUUUUGAAACUACAAGACUCGAAUUCGGGAGAGGAUAGCGGAAUUGUCAGUGUAGCAGUGAAAUGCGUAGAUAUUGACAGGAACACCAGUGGCGCAAGCGGCUAUCUGGACCGAUAUUGAUGCUGAGGCACGAAAGCGUGGGGAGCAAACAGGAUUAGAAACCCGGGUAGUCC